CCCUUAGAUGUUCUGGGCCGCACGCGCGCUACACUGACGACUUCAACGAGUUUUUUUCAUUUGAAAAAGUCCUUGGCCGGAAGGUCUGGGUAAUCUUUUAAAAGGUCGUCGUGAUGGGGCUAGAUUCUUGCAAUUAUUAAUCUCCAACGAGGAAUUCCUAGUAAACGCAAGUCAUCAACUUGCAUUGAUUACGUCCCUGCCCUUUGUACACACCGCCCGUCGCACCUACCGAUUGAACGGUUUAGUGAGGGCCUCGGAUUGGUCUCGGCCCGCUCUUUACCGGGCGGCGCCGUUGGUCGAGAAGACGCUCGAACUUGAUCGUUUAGAGGAAGUAAAAGUCGUAACA
rnacentral:rRNA from 1 species